rnacentral:rRNA from 1 species
UACAGAGGGGGCAAGCGUUGUUCGGAAUUACUGGGCGUAAAGGGCGCGUAGGCGGCCUGUUAAGUCGAACGUGAAAUCCCCGGGCUCAACCCGGGAACUGCGUCCGAUACUGGCAGGCUUGAAUUCGGGAGAGGGAUGCGGAAUUCCUGGUGUAGCGGUGAAAUGCGCAGAUAUCAGGAGGAACACCGAUGGCGAAGGCAGGUCUCUGGGCCGAUACUGACGCUGAGGAGCGAAAGCGUGGGAGCGAGCAGG